ensembl:lncRNA novel transcript
UUCAAAAAAGUAGGCAAGUACUUUGCUUUAUUGACAUCAAAUGGAACUUCUUGUCCCUCACGCAGUCCACACAACAGUAAAGGCACAAUGAGGCAUAUUAAAACAUAGCCAGUUUCAACAGCUUGGAUAUUUCCUGCCAUGGAAAAGUAUCCUGCCCACAGAUUCACAUUAACAUACAUGGUACAUUAAUAUCAAUCUCUAUCAUAUACCAGGCCACGGUACAUGUUUGCACGCAGGGUCACGUUCUGCAACAAACUUAUUCUAAUAACAGUAUUCAGAAGGCACCCUAUGGGACACAGGUGUCCGUUGCGGGCAGCCAGGUGCAGAGCGGUGUAGCCGUCUGAGGUCAUGGCCUCCUUGCCAGCGCCCCGAUGCAGGAGCAGCCUGGCAGUGCUCGUGUGCCCCGUCUCCGCGGCCACGUGCAGGGGUGUCUGUGCCAGCAGGCUGCAGACGUUGACGUC